AUCCCUUCGCAGUGGCGAUAUCAUAGCCUAUGAGGUCUAGCCGAGGCGUGAUUAUUGUGGUUGAAAACUUAAACCAAUACCCCGCCGGGAGACUUGCAAUACAGCGGCUGGCAAUUUUGAUAGUCUCGUCGAGA
rnacentral:snRNA from 1 species